rnacentral:rRNA from 1 species
ACAGGCUUAACACAUGCAAGUCGAGGGGCAGCAUGGUCUUAGCUUGCUAAGGCCGAUGGCGACCGGCGCACGGGUGAGUAACACGUAUCCAACCUGCCGUCUACUCUUGGACAGCCUUCUGAAAGGAAGAUUAAUACAAGAUGGCAUCAUGAGUCCGCAUGUUCACAUGAUUAAAGGUAUUCCGGUAGACGAUGGGGAUGCGUUCCAUUAGAUAGUAGGCGGGGUAACGGCCCACCUAGUCUUCGAUGGAUAGGGGUUCUGAGAGGAAGGUCCCCCACAUUGGAACUGAGACACGGUCCAAACUCCUACGGGAGGCAGCAGUGAGGAAUAUUGGUCAAUGGGCGAGAGCCUGAACCAGCCAAGUAGCGUGAAGGAUGACUGCCCUAUGGGUUGUAAACUUCUUUUAUAAAGGAAUAAAGUCGGGUAUGCAUACCCGUUUGCAUGUACUUUAUGAAUAAGGAUCGGCUAACUCCGUGCCAGCAGCCGCGGUAAUACGGAGGAUCCGAGCGUUAUCCGGAUUUAUUGGGUUUAAAGGGAGCGUAGAUGGAUGUUUAAGUCAGUUGUGAAAGUUUGCGGCUCAACCGUAAAAUUGCAGUUGAUACUGGAUAUCUUGAGUGCAGUUGAGGCAGGCGGAAUUCGUGGUGUAGCGGUGAAAUGCUUAGAUAUCACGAAGAACUCCGAUUGCGAAGGCAGCCUGCUAAGCUGCAACUGACAUUGAGGCUCGAAAGUGUGGGUAUCAAACAGGAUUAGAUACCCUGGUAGUCCACACGGUAAACGAUGAAUACUCGCUGUUUGCGAUAUACGGCAAGCGGCCAAGCGAAAGCGUUAAGUAUUCCACCUGGGGAGUACGCCGGCAACGGUGAAACUCAAAGGAAUUGACGGGGGCCCGCACAAGCGGAGGAACAUGUGGUUUAAUUCGAUGAUACGCGAGGAACCUUACCCGGGCUUAAAUUGCAGAUGAAUUACGGUGAAAGCCGUAAGCCGCAAGGCAUCUGUGAAGGUGCUGCAUGGUUGUCGUCAGCUCGUGCCGUGAGGUGUCGGCUUAAGUGCCAUAACGAGCGCAACCCUUGUUGUCAGUUACUAACAGGUUCCGCUGAGGACUCUGACAAGACUGCCAUCGUAAGAUGUGAGGAAGGUGGGGAUGACGUCAAAUCAGCACGGCCCUUACGUCCGGGGCUACACACGUGUUACAAUGGGGGGUACAGAGGGCCGCUACCACGCGAGUGGAUGCCAAUCCCCAAAACCUCUCUCAGUUCGGACUGGAGUCUGCAACCCGACUCCACGAAGCUGGAUUCGCUAGUAAUCGCGCAUCAGCCACGGCGCGGUGAAUACGUUCCCGGGCCUUGUACACACCGCCCGUCAAGCCAUGGGAGCCGGGGGUACCUGAAGUGCGUAACCGCGAGGAGCGCCCUAGGGUAAAACUGGUGACUGGGGCUAAGAC